GACGAACGCUGGCGUCGUGCCUACUACAUGCAAGUAGAACGCAGUUGCGAACGGGUGAGUAACGCGUAGGUAACUGCCUGGUAGCGGGGGCUAACUAUUGGAAACGAUAGCUAAUACCGCAUACUACCAGUUGGACCUGCGUUGUAUUAGCUAGUUGGUGGGGUAACGGCUCACCAAGGCAACGAUACAUAGCCGACCUGAGAGGGUGAUCGGACACACUGGGACUGAGACACGGCCCAGACGUCAAAGGGAGACAGCAGUAGGGAAGCUUCGGCAAGGGACGGAAGUCUGACCGAGCAACGCAGCGUGAGUGAAGAAGGUUUUAGGAUGGUAUAGCUAUGUUGUAAGAGAAGCGGUGUCUUACCAGAAAGGGACGGCUAACUACGUGCCAGCAGCCGCGGUAAUUC
rnacentral:rRNA from 1 species